CCAGAACACCGGGGCGGGAAAGGGACCAGGCGGGACCUGGUGGGAGAGUCUGUGCUCUGAGAGGGCACAUCCGUGGGAAAUUGUGAGACUCGGGCAUCUGCUCCACCCUGAGCGUGGAUUUGGUGCCACAGUCCACCGCGUGCGCACCGAGCCUUUGUCUGCUUUCUCGCUGGUAAGCCGCGCUUUUUGCCUAGCUUUCUCCAGGCAGAAGCUGCCAGGUUGUAAAUGAGCUUUCUUGCUACUGCUCCUAAGUACCACUCACUCCUUAACGGGAGUGGACCUCCGCGCAGGGACAUGGGGUGUCAGGGUUGAGACCCUCCUCAGGACUGCUCUAGGUGUGUACCCAGGAGCCCCUUAGAGUCUAGCCACCAGGUGGGUGACCAUGUUCCCUUCUGGCUGGGUUGACUCCCGCAAUCCUGCUUCCCUGGCCCUGGGCCAGUCCACAGUAGCCACAUGACCCAGUGGCCACUCACACACCUGCAGGCAGUAUUCAGCAAAUCUCUGCUUAGACUUGCUUGUUGACUCAAUUGCCUUGAAGGGUGUGGACUCCAUGCUCCCAGCUGUCCUCCGAGCCCGAGGCUUCCCCCAGGUGUGUACUUCCCCCAUCCCUGUAUAUGUGAUUUAUGGGUGCUGCACAUGGAGCAUCUUCGUACGAGCUUGUACUCUUUCCCUUAGAUUGUGGUCGGCAGAGACCAUACUUUCCAAAAGGGACUCCAUGGAUUGACCCUGGUUUGGAGGUAAUGGGAGAAGGUGGGGCCCAUAGACUCUUGGGUUGUUGGAAUAACCCUAAGGCCUAUGACUGGGCUUGCUCCGGGGUCUUCUGCCUCCUAGACAGUUCAUUUUUUCCCCUUUACUACAUAAGUAUGUUUUCUCUUUUGGCAAUUGAUGCACACGUAUGUGCUUAGGCAUGCUCAAGCAUAGGCUUGUAGGCCACUAUACUUGGCAGUUCCAAAUGUCACAUAUAUGAGAGAGAUUUGGCUGGAACACUUUUUCCCCCUCCUUUUGGAGAGUAUGUGUGCAUGGAUCUAUAGGUGCUGUCUUUGUCUAAGGUGGGGCUGGCGUCGAAGUAGAAAUUAUGGUUCUGAACAAAGAUGAGCAGUUCCAGAGAGAUAUCUGAGUUAUCUUGGGGUACCCUAUCCUGGGGAGGGUGUUAUCUUUCAGAGUUCUACUCUGUACAUGAUUCCAAACAGGAGAAGCUAUCCCUGCUAAGGCAUGCUCACUCCAGUUCCUAAGAACAAGGCUUCUGUAGCUUUGGGAUACAAUGAGAGCAGUAAGUACUAGGGUAUAUGUGACUUGUAGACAGUCUGUUCUCACACACCCCAACUCAAAAGGAGAGGAAGAGAUUGAUACCUGAGGAAAGGCUGCUCUAUGUUCCACUUCUCCCCCCCCCCAACACAUACUUUUAGGGGUUCUAUUUUUGUCUGGGGUCAAAGAGCAGGCCACCUGGGUCUUAAACACUGAAGGAUCUGAAAUUUGGCAGUUUUCUUAAAAAAAAAAAAAGCCUCUUGGAAGGAACUUGUGUAUUCUCCAAGGACACAAAAAUGCACAGAGGUAAUCAGAUGUAUCCCUGUGGGGCUUGUAUCGGAGCUUUCUUUUACUUUGAUCUCUUUGUCAGCCAAACAAAUCGUCAUGUGCAGGCUGCUGAGCCCAGAUGCUACUUAGACAAGUGCAUACUACAGUUCUCUUGUGAGAAAGGGAGCCCUGUGUAGGAGGACAAUAGCCUCAUCCUGUGUCUGUUUUGUUCUGUUUUUCGGCUUACCUGGUCACGCGCUGAGCAGACACUUGCCUGCUACCAUUGCCAGUACCAGAUCCUGCCCUAGCUGGUCCCUCUUGCUUAAGCAUGUUGAAGCCACAGAUCUAUAGUGGGUUAGUAGGCCAAGGUGAGAUGGAGCCUCCCGGGCAGGAGUUGGCUCAGUAUUGAUGCUCAUUGCUGCAAGUGGUCCAUGGGCUUCCCACCUGAUGCUGUUCCUCUGUCUGAAUCAGGCCAUUCCCGAGUUCACAUCAUUUCCUGUUCUCUGUCAGAUCACUAGAUCUCUGCUUUUCCUUUCUACCGCUGGAAGAGUUGCUGAUUAAGUAGAAAAAUCUUGCCCAGGGAAAGACAACAAUUGUUGUCCUGGAGCAUCCUCUGGGUUCAUUUUGCAUUGGGGGUGGGGUGGGUCACACUGCAGGCCAAUGGGAAUUAGAGCCAAUUUCCUGUAACAAAUACAGGCUGUCUGUGCUACCUAGUCAGCUUUGUGAUACAUUGUGGCAUGGCUGGAGGAGGCUUUGCCUGGGAAGAGCAGGAGACACACCUGUGAAAAAUACAGCUCUAGGAAUGAGAAUCCCAAGCCACAAAUACCUCCCCACCCGUGUCUCUCUGUGUGCUAUAUUUUUAUGAGUUAACUACAGUAAAGAGCAGAAAGAGCUCCGUGCAUAAAAAUAAAAGUGUGUAUUUGUAUGUGUGUAUGUGUGUGUUUGUAUGUGUGUUUGCAUGUGUGUAUUUGUGUGGGGGAGGCAUGGAGGGUGGCGAUACGGAGAAAGCAAAGGAAAUUAAGACCAGAGAGGUUUGUGAAUGCACAGUGUAAAUGCCUUCAUACUGCAAAUUACUGUAUGUUCCUCAAAUAUCCCAGUGAGUGUACUUUUGCAGGACUUGUGAGUCUGUUACUCGCCACUCUUAAACUGUUUCCCCGGGGUGUGAGGACUGCGUGGCUGAUGCCAGGAUACACUGAGAUAAAUAUGGUCCCUGUGAGAGCAAAUGCACUCAGUACUCCAGACAGCACCAGGCGUCCCAGUCAGGGUAUUCUCAUAGGCUCUGUGAAGCUGAUGCCACAGGGGAAAACCAGACUCAAGGCCCAGCACUGCCUGCAUCCACCAUGGGCCUACAUUCAGUCAAGACCCAACUCACAGCUUGUUGGAGAGGACCCACAUGUUCUAUAACACAACUGUGUGGAGGGUGUAGAGAUGACUCUUUACUCCCCAAAGACCUGGCAUAGAGACACGGGUGCCCCAAAAGGUGACCCGAAUAGCAUGCUGUGAAUUCCUGCCAGGCUGGCUGUGGGCAGUGAACGUCAUCUGCUAUCCAUGGAGGGGUGAGCUGGUUCUUGGCUAGGUCAGAAGUCCAAAGGGCAAAGCUAUUUAAACUGGGUGGUAUUAUACUAUUUAGAUUAUUAAUAGGCAAUCCAUGGAAUCCUACUUUUAAUUUGAAAUAAACCUAUGUGGACAGAGGAAUUUCCUGAAGGUUUAAAUGAGAAAGAGCUAGAAAAUCAGAAGACAGGCCUUCUAUCUCAAAUUGAUACAUUGCUCUUGGAGGGUUUUUUUUUUUUUUUGUUUUUCACACAAAACAUUUUGUGUCCUAAAACAAAGAAAAGCAUGUUGAGUAGCAGGCAGGUUGUGUGAGGAAUAGUGUGCCAACCAGCACAACUGCCACCCUGCGUAUAACACAGUCCGUGCAAUGGAGGAAAGCCUUUUUUCAAGUCUGGAGAAGAACUCUAAGGGGCAGGGAAUCUAUAGCUGUGGCAAAGGCAAUACUGGCACCCAGAAUGGCCCUGGCCAGUGUAUCUGCUACUACCCCGCCUUCACGCCUGCUGUCUGGCUUACUUUCUAGAAGGCAGGCUGGAGAGGACUGUGGGCAGGGUCUUAUCUUUGUUCUGAUGCUGAGGCAUAGACAGGGGUAGACUCAUAAAGAAGCUACAUUAUCAGCUUGUAUAGGAAAUUUCACGGUUCCAAUAAAGCAGAGCCAUGUAUGAGGAAGAGGUAUGCUAUCCAUAUGCAACCUGGGCACACGUGGCCUUGGACCCAGAGCUGGCACUAAACUCUAGUGGCCCAGCAUUCAAGUGUGUUCUGCAGAAUUGGUUCUCAUGGGGCUAUAGCUCCAGGAGAGGGUAAGGUUUGCUCCUGUGUUCUCAGCAGAACUACAAGGAGAUUCAGAAGGAGGUCAGACCAGAGCCCAGCUUGGAAGACCCUGUUAGUGUUUCAUAGGAUGUCAGGCUCAAGUCUGGAGGAAGCAGGGGAGAGAGUUCACCUGGCAGAAGCCCCAGGAAAACCUACUGGGCAAAAAAGGCACCUCUGAAAGUCAUAGCCAGGAGCUUAACCAGCCAAGGGGAAAGGAGUCACAGGCCUAUGCUAAGGACAGUCUCUGUGUUCCUAGACGGGUGUGCAGGAAAGCCAGAAGGCCUUCCAUGGUGAAGGUGUAGCAGAGGCUAUGUCUCUGUGGCAGUCCUCAGCAGUGGAGACAAAGCUGGACCUGUGCAUGACGACACACAGGGAGGUGGAGGCUAGAAGGAUAGGUAACAUGAUGGUUGGCUGUGUAGACAUUGGAUACCAUGGUUCCUGGUUAGGAAGGCUGAGGGUGGGGGUGGGGGUAUGAUUGGGUUGGGAGUCAGGACUGUGAACCUUUGUAGGUUGUGGGAUUCUUGGCUUGGGUGGUACCUGCUCUCUACUGCCCUCUAGUGGUGUAGAGAGCAGCUACCCGAAGGGAAUAAGCAAAACACAUCAAAACACACAGAGACUUCAUACAGGGGGCUGUGAAUGAAGGUCAAUCUGGAAGGAGAUCUGAGUGGUGUAGCAUGAGCAGCCAUGGUGUGGGAAGCAGUCAAGAGAAGAGCUGCCCGGCAGAUGGGCCCUGAGCUGGAGGAGGAGAGUAAAGGCUGCACAGCUGGAGCUGGGACCUGCAGCCCAGAUGUCUGGUAUGUGAUGAAGCCCGUAGAUUGGCCAGAACAGGGCUAUAUACCAGGGAGAGUUAUGAGCCACAGGCUUCUGUGAUUUAUAUCCUGCAGGCUCAUCUGAGUGUAAUUUGGGAAAUGAAUCUUGGAGCUGUUUGGGAAGGGAGUAUACAGGGGCCACCGAGUCAGGGGUACAGCAGUGGACAUGAAUCGUAGUUGAGGGCUCAAGUAUUUGUGGUAUCAAGUGCACUGAAUGCCUGUUGCUUGGGGAAUGCAUUCCUGGCUUCCGGUUACUGGUAAGGGGCCCAGAGGAGGAAAUAUGCAGGCAAAGGCAGGUUUGGUAGGUUUGGCAGUAGGGAGAUGGAGAUGCUCAAGGUAUAGCAGAUUUAAAAACAACAACAACAACAACAACAACAACAACAACAAAUCACUUAGAUAAAGUUUUACCAUCCCUAAGGCUGGAGAAGAAAAAAAGAGGCAUGACAUUUGAUGCCCCUCUAAGGAGUCAGUCCAUGGAUGCUUUGUGUGAAUCUGGAAUUUCUGAGAAAAAAAAAAUGGAUGGUCUUGGUUGCAGAAGGAAGGGUAUCAUGGCGCAGUGUCUCUCUACUCUGAAGACUGAGAUGUGGGAGGAGAGCGUGGGCCCGAGGAUGCUGGCCUAAAGUGGGUUAGAAAUGAAGAUCGUGAUCCCCUAGUGCUGAGGCAGCAGCUGAAGGGACGAUGAAGAGGAUUCAGGGCAGAGGGCAGAGGAUGUGUUUGAAGGGGGCAGGGAAAAGUGGAAGAGUGCAUCAGGCAGGAGUGGACUGAGCAUCUGCAGGUGACAAGGGACAGACACACUGUGGCACUCAAAGAGGAGCCUCUGAGAUGAAGUAAAAUCCCGUGGCCAGCAUGUGACUAGCAGACCUGUGGAGUGCGCCCCUGUGGCUAUGGCUGAUGGUGGGCUUCAUUCCAGAGAUGCUUAAGAAUGCUUACCUACUGAAGUCCAGGGGUUUGAAGAACGAGGCAACAUGAAGAAACAGCUCUGUGAGGUGAGGAGGACAGGGUGGGAUGACAUGUGGGGAUCUGGGAAAGCUGAGACCCAAAAGGCAAUGUUUUUGGUGGAGGGGAGGGUGGGGGCCAUGUUGUAGCUGUUGCUAACUCACAUCGGGGGCAAUGAGUGGGUAAGAAACCUUUCAUCAGGUGCUAACUUCCAUUACUCUAGUUGUCCAGCAUUUUGGUCCUUUGGAGGAAGCUAGACAGGAGAGCAAGGCCUGAGAAAGCUUUCAGGGAACAGGGAGAAGGGAAGUAAGUACGCUAAAGCAUCCAUGAAGAGAAAGGCAGGGGUGUGGAAGGUCUCCCGGGUGCUUGGGAGAGGCGCUUAGUAACCCGCAAUUAGAUGGGUGUGGGGGAGUGACCUGUGACAUUUGGAAGGGGAGUUGUGAGAGAAAAGCAGUAGAUUAGUAGAUUAGGAAGCAGACAGCUACUGGGGGCAAGAAGAGUGACAGGAUCGGAGGGGCAGGCCUGAGCAAGUGAUUCUAUUCAAGAUCAAACAGAGCAAGAAAGCUGCAUAUUGCACCACUCAUAAACACCCUAAUGAGAAGUGACCUAUGACCUAUGGAGUGACAGCUGAGUGCUGUCUUGGAGGAGGGAGAAUUUGAGGGUUGCAGAGGUAACCAAGAGGAAGAUUCCAGAAAGAAUGGAUCUGAACAGGGUCCAGAGGUGGAUAUAGGAAGCCAGGAUUGAGGAAGCAAAGCAGCAGGGCUGUAUGGAGAGAGUGGGGGACUGAGGACAAGGGACAUUGUGUCAUUGCACCAUCUCUUCCAGAGGACUUUCUCUGUCCUGACAGCUACCUGUCUAGGUCCUCCUGUGCUUCUGUGUGUCCUGCAGCACAUCGUCCCUCUUUGAAUCUGGAUUUCACUGGUCUUUGUCUGUCUCUAGGGUUGGGCAAAUGCUUCGCUCAUCUACUCUUUAUCCAUCCUCCCAGGGCAGCUCCAAGCAGUCUAUUGAAGAAACAAGGGAGGGUGUUUAAGUGGAAGAAUCUUAGCCAAAUAGCCCUUUAUCAAAGCUAAUUUUCCUAAAAGAGAAGAAACAAUGAAAUCGUGUGGCUGCAGAGCUUUGCUCCAGUACUCAAAACUUCAUUCUAUUCAUUUUUUUUCCAUGUAAUCCAAAUACACUCUUUGGCACCAGCACCCAGGCUUUUGCGUCACUGUGAACACAAUACUUGACACGCAGUGAGGUCAAUGAGGAACAGGCAGCAGGAGUCCAAAGGAAGGAGGGAGCCCCGUGGUCCACAUUUGGGUAGCCUCAGCUUGCUUUCCCUGGGCUGUGGCAAGAGCCUUUGUUACUUUGAUGAAAACAUUUCCUGCAUCGCCAAGACAAAAAGUGUUGCAUGGAAAGUGCUGAAAUAUUGCCACGUGUGUGUUUUGGAGAUGAUGAGUUAUUGAUCAAACACAAGCAGAUUUGGACUUUUUAGAGUUGGCAAGUUCCGUGAGAGGAAACGUUCUACAUGCAGAGCACCAAUGGGCAAGAAAGGAGGUGACUGGCAGGCAGGAGUGCAGCCCAAGGCAGAGCAGUGCGGUGUGUAUGAUGUAAUGCAUUGGUGUAUUGGGUUUUUUUAUUUUUUUCAUUCUUGAGUGGGAGCCAGGGCCAUUUCGCCUCAGCUGGCCUUGAACUCCAGCAAACAUCAUGUCUUCCUCAGCCUCUGCAGGGAUGCUACUGCAGAUGUCGCCACCACACUGGCAUCUGUGCUUCUGAUCGUAACCCUGGCUGUUUCUUAAAGAAGGCCAAGCGCUGUCCUGCAGACCCAUCGCUGUGGUUCUCAGAUGUAGUAAUGGUGGCUUUUACCUGCUAUUCCAAGGGUCACAUAUACUUUGAGAUAUUCUGCAUGACACAGCUUCAGAAUUUUGCUCAUGAAAACAUUUUUAUCUAGCCAGUCACUGUUUUUUUUUUUUUUUUUUUUUUUAGGGUGAUAUUCCAAUUUCUUGGGAUUAACCAUAUCAUCUAAUAUUUAAGACUGAUUUAAGACUAUAUAAAGCCUUAGUGAUUAGAACAACAUGCUGCUGGCCCCAGACAGACAGACAGACAGUCCAGCAGACCCAGAGUUAGGCAGGAACACAUGCACCCCACUUUAUGUGGUAGGAGACAGGGUAGAUGGCUGAAGAGAUGGUCUGGGGACAAGAGAGUAUUUGCUCAGAAGAAAAUGAGAUCAUCCUGCACACUGUAGGCUCAGAUUAAAUUCUACAUGGUGAAUAUAUUUAAUAUUGAAAGGAGGAAAACAUAAGAAGAAUAGAUAGAUAGAUAGAUAGAUAGAUAGAUAGAUAGAUAGAUAGAUAGAUAACACCAUGAGGAAAUUCUGUUUUUAGAUUAGGGGAGGCAUUUUAAAUUCCAGCAGUAGUCAAAGGAAGCGUUGACUGAAUAAGGAGACAAGAGAAAUUCCUUUUGUACGGCUUUGGACAGGGACCCACUCCAAGGGAAUAGCUAAAUGAUUUUCCACUUUCUGCUACUAUCCAAGCAAGAGUCAACUACCCGUCCUUUAGCACAAGGUACUAUCUGAAGUAGUUAAGGAACACCCACCCAGGGACGUGAGCAGAGAGCGUGUGGGAAAAGAGGAGAAACAAGACAAACACACAUCCCGAGACAGCGUUCUGCUUCAUCGUGAGGAGGCCUGCACUUUAAAACAUUGCCAUCUUCAUCUGCCCUCGCUGCACAGGUUAAUACGCUUUAUAGCACACGGGUGGUGGUUAUGCUAAGAGGCAAACCCUCUCACAACUUCCUGCGGGAAGUACUAAUCGGCAAAGCCUUUGAAGAGGGCAAUUUGUCAGUAUUGAUUAGUAUUAAAAAUGUAUGUAUCCAGUAAACCAAUAAAUUGUUCACCUGGGAUUUUAUCAUUUAGAUGCUGCUAUCGGAGUGACUGACACACAGUGCAGGGUGGGACUCUGAGUGUCUUCUUGGAGGGUCCUGUUAAGUUGCUUUUGUAGCAGUAAAAUUGAAUACACUGCUACAUUAAACAAAAAUACCAGCAACAGCAAAAUAUCAGUGAAGGAGGAUGCCUACAUCCACACACAUGCACUCUUAGAUCCAUUCGAGUUAGAAAGGACAAAAGAAACCGAUUUGCUUCUAAUUUCACAAGGAAAUUGAGUUGGCCUUACUGGGCAAUAUUGGCGGGGCGGGGGGGGGGUAGGGGGCGGUGAAAGCAUGAUGUGAGCUUUGCAUAGAUGGGAACCGAGUCCGAGGGAGACUUCAACCUGAAUGUGACCUGGUUUCUAUUGGUUCGUACCCAUUCAGAAAUCAUACGUGAGGCUGUGCCAAAACGCAGUGUGAUUAACCCUGAGUGGCUGGUGGCUGCCGAGGCUGAUUUUGUUGUUGUUGUUGACCUCAGGUUUUUUUAUCUCAGCACCUGAAAUUUCCUCAGUUGCUUUCUGUCUUCUUGAAAUGUCAAGCCAGGAAUAUUUAAAAGAGAAAGAAAAAAGGAAAAAAAUAACAUCCUUCCCGUUCGAGUGUCAGUUCCUUUUUUAUGCCACACACCAAUGUGAAAACCAAAGCAGGUACUCCUGCCUCCGUGUAUUUCUGACUGAUAGAGCCCUUGGCUUUGGAUUUAAAGUGUCAAGUAUUGCUUAGAUGUUUGGAGGGCUGCCCAGUCAGGCUAAGCUGGUAGAAAUCACUGUGUUUGGCAAGGAAUGGAGAGUCUUCAUCGAGCGACUGUAGGCUCUGCGUGGCUGCGCUUCUAGAGUGGGUGAAAUGUAGGCACAUUGGUUGGUUCUAGCUCCUAAGGAUCUGUCUGAAUGAGGUCCUACUCAUUGCCAGCCACCGUGCUGACAGCAACUUGUUGUGAUAGCAACUUGUGGAUAUGCACGGGGGAAGAGGCAGAGGGCACUUGUGCCUGCCACUCUCCACAGCCUGCUGGUGCUGAGUUGAGUGGCAGCCACUGAGCGCUCCCCAGGGGCUAGCCAUCUAGAGGAGAGCUUGAGAAAGCUUCCAGGCUGGAAAGGACAUAGCCAGCCCCUGCUUUGAGGGUUGAUUUAUCCAUACCCUCCUGCCUAACCUCUUCCCUGUUCUUACUUCAGGCUCCGGGUUUCUCUGAGUGCGUGGGAUUCUUCCCCUCCCCCACCCAGGCCCCUGGUAUGGAUGGCCACCCUUCUCAUUGUCCGGUGUCUUGCUUGUAAUGUUGACAUUUUUCUUUGUCUUAUCACUUAAUAUUAUUUCCUUCUCGUCCACCCGUUGGUUUUAUUUUAGCCGCCACUUCCUUCCUACUUACUGGGUUUUGUGAGAAACUUUUUGUUAUUUUUUUUUGAACAUCAACCUUCCUCCACCCCUGCAAACCUCUCCUGUGGGUGUCACACUCCUCCCCAGGGCUGACCUGGGGGCAGAACCAUGUGUCUCCAGAAGUGUUUUCUCCCUGCUAUUCCUGGCCAUGUGAAACCUGGCCCUUUCUCUUCACAGGCUCCCACCGACCCCCGGCAAUGCCUUUGUUCUAGAAGUUACUCUUGAUGAAUAAUAUUAGGAUCCUGCCUUAAUUUACCUCUUACAGAUCUCGCUCUCUUUGCAGGAGAGUUUUGGCACCUUCUAUGUUUUGUAACUGGUCUGCUCUGUUUGUCAAAGAGUUGCCAUUUCAAAAAACCAAAAAGGGUUGCCAUUAGAAAACCCAUCUUUUUUUUUUUUCUACCUUGUUUUUUAAGUUUUCUUUUGUUUUAUGUUUGAAUGUGUGUGUGUGUAUAUGUGUGUGUGUGUGUGUAAUUUAUCAUUCCUAAUUUUUUGAGACUCAAAACUGUUCCAAUUUCUUGUAUCUGAACCCCAAGCUGGCAGAAAUACAACGUAUCAUUGCUCCCUUCCUCCCUUUCCUUCCUUGUUGAUGGACGGCUUAGUCUUGGUUGGACCUUCUGUUCUAGGGCUGACAACCUUUCUCUAAGAACCUAUGGAAAGCGAGGUGUUGACAAGUUGCCAGUGUCUGUGCGUUAUGCCACCAUCAAGCAGGUACUGGAGCACAGAGUUUGGGGACAGCAACCUGUGUGGGCUGCUUGCUUUGUUUGCUCACAUUGGGAAGACAAGGAAGGUGAUGUGUGUCCAGAGGAAGGGCAGAGCAGCUGUCGUCAUAUCCUGGGUCCCUUCUCUAAAUGGUGGCAUGACAGUCUUGGUGACAUCCAAGUGGUGGGAGCAAAGCAUGGCUGCCUGAGGUCUCUGCUUUGCCUGGAAGGCGCUUCUGCGGUGGCAGGAAGCAAGGCUUCUGGAAACACUGACAGCAGGAAAGGCCAGACUUGUCCAGCAACUCCACUUUCUUGGCAAGAAAUGAAAGGAAAAUGGGUUCAAAAUUAAAAGGGAAGAAUUUUUAGAAAGAGAAAGAAGAAGAAGAACAACAACAAAAAAGCAAUUGUCACUAGAAUUCUUCCAUUUAGGGCAAGCUAUUUAGAGAGGUUGUAGGCAUUUCCCCAUGUAUGGAGUCUGCACCUCCAACCUGCUCUGGUUCUACCCUGUCCCAGCUCUGAAUGCCUCAAGUUGGCUUUGCCCCAACCUGGGAACAUCUGUGAGGCCUCCUGCUGUGUGUUCAGUGGAAACCCAGGGGAGUGUGUGUGGUGGAGGAACAUGGGGGUGGGGCAGCCCUGGGGCAGAGCACAUCUACAUGGCUCCAUGUGUCUCAGGAAGUAGGCAAUGGACAGGACCCCUUGUUCUUAGCUUUUAUGUAUGGGUCCUCUUAUAAUAGGCUAUUUUCUGGACUACUUGGGUUUGUUGAUCUGUCAUGAUUAGUCCUAUCCAUGUGCAAAGUUAUAACUUGAAGAAGAGCAAGGACAUGUCUUGAGGAUAAAUUUUGAACAAGUUGCCAUUUGAAUUCCCCUAAGAACGUUGCUGUACCUCGUUUGCAUGUAUUAGAAGGAAGCUGUCAGUGACUUGCAUUAAGACUGCACUUUUAUAUUUUACAAUAGUUUGCAAUCCUUUCAUUCUUUAGCUCUACUUAAGAAACCACUGGUUGCUUCUGCCUCAAAAAAUUGUAUAUCGAUGUGCACCAUCACAGCCGUGGCUGGCUUCUUCCUGGGCUUGCUUCAGGGGCUCAAGACAGCAGCCGUGUCCUGUCCUGCGAAUCUACCUUCCUCUCUUCUGGAAGCUGAGGCUGUCUCUGGAUGAAUGAGUGCCCCCAGGGGCAGCUUGCCCAGUGGGUCCUUGAUGCCAGAAUUGUAGGGAGCACUACCUCAGGCCACAUCUGUGUCGAAGGAGAAUUUGCCUCCAGAAUCCGGCUCCUUACUUUCUCAGAGCUUUAUCAGUAUGUGUCUGUUUGCCUUGGUGCCUUCUCUUCCAAAGAGAUUUGCAGCCUUGUUUUUUGUUUGUUUGCUUGCUCGUCUUUUUUUUUUUUUUUUUAAAACAGGGGCCCACUGUGUAGCUCUGCCUGUCCUGGAACUUACUAUGUUGAUCAGGCUGGCCUCAAACUCUCACAGAGAUCCUCUUGCUUGUCCCCUAAAUUCCUGGGUUAAAGAGAUGUGACGACCAUGCCCUGCACAGACUUGUUUUAAAGUGAAACUACUUUUGAAAUUCUGCAUAGAGCACAGGAGUGUCCUAUUUGUAUUGUUUUGCUUUGACUUACAUACUGAGUGUGUGUGUGUGUGUGUGUGUGUGUGUGUGUGUGUGUGUGUAUGUGUGUGUGUGAGAGAGAGGGGGGGGAGAGGGAGAGAGAGAGAGAGAGAGAGAGAGAGAGAGAGAGAGAGAGAGAGAAGCAAGGCUUUUCCAGAAAUCCCUUAGGGCAUGGCUUUUGCCUGACUUCAUGCAAGUGCCCCAUUGACAUCAUCGCUGAUGUCAUCGCUGACAUCAUUGUGGGGUUGGGGCCAGAGUUUUCACUGAGGCCAUCCUGGGCUGUGUGCAAUUGUCCAUGCUCUGUGCCAGCCUGGCCCAUUUUCCUAAGAAGGCCCGUCAUGGUCUUAUUUUGGGAUGUGACCUGCUGUGGAGCUUGCUGGGUGCACUGGCCUCUCUUUAUUCCUGUUUCCUCUCUUCCUUAUGUAAAGACACUUUUCUGCUGUCCCCCCAGUGGGAGAAGCCAGGAGGUUAUCUGCAGGCUAGCUCAGAAGUUGGGUUGGUAACGUCAGAAACUAGCUGCAGUAAGCAAACCUUUCGGAACUCUCAGCUUGCCAUGGUGUAGCUCUAGUUCUAGUGGUGUUGAGAUUACCCCAGUUUCAGUAAGAAGGAUUGCUCAAAGUGUGAGCCUUAAUUAAGGUCCAGCCUUCUCGUUACAGAGGUGAUCCUUGGACAGGAUGGAAGGAUAAUUGCAGCAUCGGGCUGGAAAGAAGAGCUGAUGGUCUCUGUGUCAAAGAGAAGGGUUCCAGGUGCAUACGGGAGGCAGCACCUGGCUGGAGGCCCAGUGAUGCUCCUGGCUUAGCCAGGGUUCCUGGGCAGCGAGCAGAGGUCAGGGGAUGUAGCUGAGGCACAGGGCAAACAGCUAAAGGUGAAUCUAUCGUGACAGAGACAGGGUACCACUGUCAAGCCUGACUUUAGAAGUGGGCUGAAAAUUUAGCAAGCUCCAGAGUUUCUGUCUAGUUCUGAAGAAGGCAGCCUCCUCCCUUGGAACUUCAGGAAGCCAUUGUUCUUCUGCACUACGACUCUGAGAACUGCCACACAGUCACCCUCUCAGACACUGGCUCAGCAGCCAGCCAGUAUGACUGACCUCUUGGUCUUUGGCUCUGGUGCCACCCAAAUCGGGCACAGAGCUUAGUUCUUGUUUAAGUCGGCUUCUCUUAGAGGAAGAAGAACAUUUUUAGAAAAUGUAAAUUUUUAAUUUUUUACCUAAAUCUGCCUUGUUGAUUUUUAUGUUUCUGAGAGUUAUGUCCAAUAUCCCUUUACAAGGACAAACAGGUAUAUAAAAAUGUGCCCUGUUCCCAAACCAUGCUACCUGUGUGGAAUUUAGCAGAAUUUAGAAGACUGCAAGAUUCAUGCAUUUGGGAGGUAGAGGCAGGAUGGUUGUCAGUUCAAGGCUAGCCUGGUCUACAUAGUGCAUUGUAGCCCAGCCCAGAGCUAUGAGACACUAUGUCAAAAACAAACAGAAAGCAAAACAAACAACAACAAAGCAAAAGCAAAAGUAAAAGUAAAAAUAACAGAAGAAUACUUUAGAUGCUCUGGGUGUGAUGUGGUACUGGCCAGGAGACAGGACACUGCUGUAUCCUGUAUCCUCUUUCCUUCUGAAAGCAAUGUUCUAUUCACAGAGGUUGCAGACUUACUCAGAACAGCUGACUUGUCAUGAAGUCUGUGUGAUGUUCUUUUUCUUUUUUUUUAAGAAUGAUUUUUCGGGCAGUGGUGGUGCACACCUUUAUUAUGUUUAUUUAUUUAUUUUUUUAAAGAUUUAUUUAUUAUAUGUAAGUACACUGUAGCUGUCUUCAGACAUUCCAGAAGAGGGAGUCAGAUCUCGUUACGGAUGGUUGUGAGCCACCAUGUGGUUGCUGGGAUUGAACUCCGGACCUUUGGAAAAGCAGUCGGGUGCUCUUACCCACUGAGCCAUCUCUCCAGUCCCCCUGUGUGAUGUUCUUAUUCUUUUAAUUUUUUAAAAAAAUUAAUUAAUUUUUAAAGAUUUGUUUAUUAUUUUAUUUUUUAAGUAUUUGAGUAAUCUGUAGCUGUACAGAUGGUUGUGAGCCAUCAUGUGGUUGUUGGAAAUUAAAAUUAGGACCUGUGCUCUCUAUAGUCAACCCCUGCUCUGGUCGUCCAAAGAUUUAUUUAUUAUUAUAAAUAAGUACACUGUAGCUGUCUUCACACACACCAGAAGAGGGCAUCAGAUCUCAUUAUGAAUGGUUGUGAGCCACCAUGUGGUUGCUGGGAUUUGAACUCAGGACCUUCAGAAGAGCAGUCACUACUCUUAACCGCUGAGCCAUCUCCCCAGCCCUAUUCUUUUGCUCAUAGUUACUAUUAUCCCUUCUGAAGAUUCUGGAAGUGAAGCACCAUUGGUUUCUCGGACCUUCCAGAAAAGUUUCUCCAGGCCCAACUGAGUACAUGGUGUCUGUACCACGUCUGCCACUGUCAUGACAUGCCAUUGUUAGCGAGGAGGGAAUGUAUGAGGAGGAGCUUGGGAAAGCCACCUUGGUCUCACUGCGGGAGCCCGGGGAGAAUCUGAGGUAGGAGCUCACUCAGGUCAGGCCCAGGUUCCCUGGAAUUUCAGGACAUGGAAUAUUUAGAGGCCACAGCCAAGGAGCCCAUGCCCUUCAGUCUUCAUGACAGCUUUCUUCUUUACUUGUCUCUUGUUCCAGCAUCCACCCUAUAACAACUUACAGCAAUGACAGCUUCUGCUUUUACUUUAGGUUCUGUUUGUAAGUGACAGCGGAAAGCCGUGUCUGGGUUGCAGGAUGUCACGUGUUGAUGGACGUGUGCAUCAGGGAUGCUUACAUCGAGCUAGAAAACAUCUCUGCCAGCUCACCUCCACGUCAGUUGUUUUAUUUGUGGUAACAGUAUUGAAAAAUCUACUUUUACUAGUUUCCAAAUGUAUACUAUUAACAGCGGCCUUGAGAGAGGCAUUCCUUUUGCCUCACGGAAGCCUUGAACACUGGAUGUAUUUCCUUCUUCCUAUAGUCCCUGGAGCCUGCUUUCCCACCCCCUGCAUCCAUAAUUCUGACUUUCCUUGAUUUCAAGAUAAGUGGCUCAUUUCGCUUAUCUCCUCUCCAUUUCACAACUGACCUUUCCUUAGUCCCGGGGGAAGUUUGUUCAAUCCAGAAUUGUACCAUAUGGCUCCUUUUUCUAAAGUGCUGAAACUCCCAGGGUGCUGAGCCAUGGGACAAUCUUGAGAGCUUCUGACCUCAAGGGAGAAGCAGGAAGACCAGGGGCAGCAAGACAGGGAGAGUACUUUAUUAAACCAACCAACUCAUAGCAAAUUCCAGGUCUUCCCUUCUACCUUCCUAUCUGUGCGUCUGUUCGUCCAUCUGUCCAUCCACCCUUGUCUCUACCAGUCAACUCAUCUAUCCGAGUGUUGUGAUCUAGAAGUGAGACACUGUCACGGGCAUGCAAUUUGGAAUGUAUUUAAAUUGUGAGAGUUAUGAAAUUAUGCUUGCCAUUCUGAUGCAGCUGUUUGACUUAACAUCGAAGAUUGGCUUUCCAAGAAGGCGUGCAGCAGAGAGACUCCAUAAAUGGAACGAACUGCUCUUCAGCUCCAUAUUUGCUGUGAAAACAUGUGGGAACAUACCUCAUUCCCAACCAUUCAAGCUCGUGAUAAAAAUUUCAUAUGUCAACUGAAAAAUGUGCGAUAGCGUACCAACGGGGGUGGGAGCAGGAUGCUGCGGUAGAGUCUGUGCACGAGAGGAGCGCUCUCCCACUCGGGAGUGUCUGAAUGCCCCAGGCCUGGGCAGAGCUGCCAAGCAGCUAUAAAGAUCGAGUCCUUUGACAUUUGCUUGUUGUUUUAGUCAGUGUUUUACUUCUGUAAACACACACCAUGACUAAGGCAACUCCUAUAAAGACAACAUUUAAUUGGGACUGGCUUACAGGUUCAGAGGUUCAGUCCAUUAUCAUCAAGGCUGGAAGCAUGGCAGCAUCCAGGCAGGGGUGGUGCAAAAGGAGCUGAGAGUUCUACAUCUUUAUCUGAAGGCUGCUAUGAGGAGACUUGCUUCCAGGCAGCUAGGAUGAGGGCCUUAAAGCCCACACCCAUAGUGGCACACCUACUCCAACAAGGCCACACCUCCUAACAAUGCCAGUCUGUGGGUCAAAUAUAUACGAACCAUCACAGGGUACUGGAUGCCUGAGGUUGUCUCUGUAGUAAAUGUGUUGUCAUGACACUGAGUGGUCCUUGGGAUUAGGCUCAUCUCAGCACCUGAGGAGCACUGCCCCUCCAGCCUGUCUGUUAUCAGGCUUUCUUGAUCAGCAUCUCCAUGCUUAUGUGGCUGUGUGCUCCUGUAGAAUACCUUUUAUGUGCCCACGUGGUGGAGAGCAGCUAGUCCUUAUAACUUCAGUAAGCCUGCAAUCUGAUUGAUGGAGUGCAAGAGCCAGGAGGUUGGAGUAGCCUGAGGCAUCUGAGGAAGGACAAGAGAGAGGGACAGGCUGCAUUUGUAGUCUGGUAUGGGGUUGUGAUAGAGGAAGUUUCUGGGUGGCAGUUGCUGCCUGGCCAAGGAUACCCUUGUGUCUAGGUGAGGUAGAUGAUCAAGAGGCAUCCUGGAACCUGCCUUCCAGAGUCAUAUUGAGUUCUUGCCUCUGCAGAGCAAGCAGGUGAUACACAGGUGUGGUGAUGUCCAGCCCCUUUGGACCACAGGGGGCACAGCUGUGACAUUUGAGGCUGGGGUUCAAGGCAGGCUGGAAGCUCUUUUAUUUUAUGACAGUACAAAGUGGGUGAAUCCUGAGCUGGAAGGGGCUGAGAAGAGAACCUGUGCCUCAGCCUGAAGCCUAGCAAAUAAAUGGUCUCAGGCCCUCACCAGAGUGCCUCUAGCCUCCUGUGGCCAUGUUCACCUCCUCCAGACACAAGAGUUGUCUGCUUGGCUCCCUGACCCUGCCUUCCAAGGGGACGGAAGUGCUCACCUGCUUCUUAUAACUUAUUCCAGAAAUAAACCUUUCAAAAUGUGUGGUGGCACUGUCCCCUGCCUCUUAGAAGUCUUUGGACUUUUGAAGUUUUUCACGGUGACUGUGUCUCUGAUACAGCCUAGAAAGGAGACAGUCUGGGGCUCUUGGUUGGGUUUGUUUUCCGAAAGGCAGGAAAAAUCUGAAACGUAACAGGUAGCAGCAGACAGUGCAAACAAAACCAGCAGCUUAGGGGGCAUUUAUUGGGAGUGAGGAAACACACACACAGCAGACAGACAGACAGACAGACAGACAGACAGACAGAUAAGGAGAAAGAUCCUUCACAGAGCAGGCAUGAGACUUGGGAAGCCAAAGAAUGUAGUCUGUCUUUAAGACCAGCCUCUGAAGUCUUCCUACUUUAGCUUUGGUCAUAUUGAAAACAGUUGUGCUUGCUCCACAGUUGUUGUGCGACCUUUCCUGAUCAGGCCUUGAACCUGUUGAGCUGCUCCAUCAGCAGGAGGCCCGGCGGAAGACAAAAGAUGCCAGGCUUCUGUCUCAAGUCAGGAGAAUGAGGAUGGACAUAUUUUGGAAAUCUUCUACCUUUAUUACCUACCUAGCCACAGUCCCUUCCCUCUCUGUCCCCCUCGCAGGGAGUCUCUCUGACUCCUGGUGUCUCACUCACCUCCUUGCUGCUUUUCACAGGCCAGAUGGAAAAGCCUAGCUUCUCUCCCCUGGGUCAGCUGGGAAGGUUUGCUAGCUUGCCUGCACUGUGGCAAAGACCUGAGGGACCUGGAAUGGUGACCACUGUCUGACGUGCACAGUCUUUCCUGCAUCUGUGACACCAGCUGGGUAUGUGACAUGUAUAUUCUAAGAGCGGUGGCAACCCCAUCGUAGACCUCGUAGACACAGCCAAGGAGAAAAGAUCAGGGGAUACCAAGAUACUCAGUGCAGCAUAGUGUACCUUGUAUUAUUCUCUGCUGGGCGUCUAAACCAUCUCAGCAAAUGAUCUUUAUUGUAUUUAAAUACAAAUGGAACAAGAGUGUUGCAAGCCCUAUCAGAGGGUUCUUUGAAUCCCUCAGUAUCUAGACGCAGUUACAUGUAGCCCUGCUCGAGGGAAAUCUAGAUGAGGGAGAUGAGACCAUCACUGCAGCUGUAGUUUGUAGUUUUACAAAGUUUUGAGAUAAGAGCUUGGCUGGAUUUUUUUUUUUAACUUAGUUUCCUUUUAAGUGAAAAUUAUUAACUGUAUUUUUGUUUUGUUUUGUUUUUCUGUUCAGGAUAUACCCGGGUAAGCCUUUAAAAUUUGCUAAUCCUUUUAGUUAAAAACAUAAAACUUGUAUAUUUAUACACCAAGAAUUGUCUUGUAUGUUUACUUGAUAUCUAUCUGCUGAAUAAAGAGUUGUAUUAGGGGCUGGAGAGAUAGCUCAGUGGUUAGGUGUGUGUGCUGUUCUUGCAGAAGACCAUAGAGAGGUUCCCAGCAUGUACAUCACCGUGUUUCCCAACCACUUGUAACUUCAGCUCCGUGUGGAUCUUUUGCUUCUGACCUCUGCACGCAUCUGUGCUUGUGCACAAACCCAUACACGUGCACCUACUUUUAAAAAAUCGAAGAAAGGUGGAGGUACACAUUGAAAUAGUUAAGGGAUGAAGAACCAGUAAAAAUUGUUCCUUAUUUCAAUUUAGCAAUGUAAGAGAUCUGUGGAGACUCGGUGUCCCACCUAAAAUGGCAAUGCACAAGCAGAAACAUGUAACUUAAAGCAUUAAAAAAAUGGAUGAACAAAAAGCAUCAGGAUUUUUUUUUCUUUCUAAAUACUUGUGCAUGUAGAAUCCUCAUGGUAAUUAAGCCUGCAUUUCUUGUCCCCUAAUGGAAAAGAGUAACAUGCAUGGGAGGGAACAUUGCUGGCCUGCUAUGACACAGAUCACUUCUCAUAGCUCCCUACCAAUGUACUGAGCGCUGCAGUUGAGAACGGCUGUAUGAAUGACCUCUGGUCAAGAUAAGAUUGCGCUUGAGUUUGACCAUUUACACUAAGGCAAUGGAUGGGAAAGUUCCAGAUCGGCAAGUGGGUAGUUCACAGAGCCCUAAACAAGGGAGUGUGGGGGACAGAGACAGAGACAGCCAGCUUGAAUAUCCGAGAGUUGGAACAUGGUUCCCUCGGCCACUAGAGGUGUGAACAUGGUUCUCUCAGCCAUGGUGUGUGAUCCCAGGGGAACCACUCAUUUCCAGAGACCUCUGUCCUUUACCUCGAUGCUGCCCCUCUCUGUCUUGAUUGGGAUAAAGGUAAAAAGGUAGCCAUGGAUGUUCCUUUUGCAGACUGUAAAUUUUAGCCCAGAUCCAAUGCACUAUAAGUCUUUGCUGCAAAAGUCCGGGGGGGGGCAGAGAACUUGAGGGUUAAUAAUCAACUUUAUGUAGUGUUUGUGGGGGGACGCUGUACUUUAGGCGGAGCCUAGCACCUGCGGUGUGGCAGCCAAUUUGUCACCGUUGUUUGAAUAUUCUAUUUUAGAUUGCUAGGUAGGCAACUCGAUGCAUACCUUAUUAUGCGAUGUGGGUGUUGCGUGGGCAACCUAACCUCGGGAUGACGAACUUACCGUUUAUCAAUUUUGACUAGCAAGUGCUUAAGUGAUGAAGUUUCAGGUUUCAUGGUAUAUGCUUUAAAUGAUUUUAAAGCAUUGCGUUUGUUUGUAUAACAUUAGCACUGGUAGACUAUAAAGAUGAAGUGUUCACUCAAAAGACCAGUGCAGGGAAGAUGUUCUGAGCACGGGAUGAGCCACUUGCUUCUCUCCCCUCAGAGCUUAGCACAACGGCAAGGGCUGGUUAGAAAAUGCAGUUACUUUUGUGCCUGUUCUACUUCUCUCUCUCCUUCCUUCUUCAUCUUGAAAAGGAAUUUAGCUCUUAUUUGCAUUCAGAUUGGAUUCGCCACUGUACUUGGUGUAGUCAGCUAUAAAGUAAAAGAGGAGAGUCACUUCUGAGAAGAAAGAGUUAAAACACUUUCUGAGUGGGCUGGGGAGUUGGCUCAGAGGUUAGAAACACACGUGUUGCUCUUCCUGAGGACCUGGGUUCAAUUCCCAGUACCUACAGUCAGGUGACCCACAGCCAUCUGUAACUCCAAUUCCUGAGGAUACACCCUCUCUGGCAGGCAUUCAUGGGCACUGUAAGUGGUGUGCAAACACAUACACAGGCAAAAAACACCCAUCUACAUAAAAUAAAAUAAAGCUAAAAAACAUCAAAAACCAACCAACCAAAAUAAAAACCACUUUCUGAGUAGUGGGCUGAGAUCCUUUGAAAAAGGCAUAGCCUUAGACUCUGGUUAGAUACCGCUUUAGGUUGGCCCCUCUCACCAGCAUUGGAUAUUCUGAUCUAUUCCUCGCAGAGACUUCAUUGACAGAGGAGGUGGUGUGUGAGGGAACAGAAUCUAAUCCCCACGGAUAUAAGGUUGUGGAGAGUACUUGCUGAAAUCGUGUUUUCUUGUUUCAAGAGGUAGAGACAGGGUAUGCAUUUAGAAGCUGUUUGUUGGCUGUGGGAAAGUCGAGCCAGAUUUUGCCGUCUGCUCUGAUUUUGCCGUCUGCUCUGGCUAGGUGCUUACAUUGUAAAUACCAUGCACUGAGAAUCCCCGUGGCUGCCCUAUGAAGGCUCAGCACCCAUCUGGGAGGGUGCCUGGCCCCUCGGUAAGACUAGGGCAUGGGCUGAUGCCUCCAUCCCUCCCUGUCUGUCCUUCUUUGCUGCUACUUGGGUGAGGAGAGCUGUGUCACAGGGGCAUAGACUCUCAUAAGACUUUGUGUUCUAACCCUGUAAUGCUGGCUAGCACCUGAUGUUCCAUACACCAUCCACCUAGUGCUAGCUCAGCACGGGCUUCCUCUUUAUGUGUUGUACAUAAGGUAGGUCAUUUUCAAAGUCUGGUGUGUUUCAGGCACCUCCAUCAGAGGUUUGUCGCUGGGCUUCUGGUCAUGAUGCUGCUCACACUACAGGGCCCUGAGAACACUUUAGAAAUACAGGCAAGGGUUAGGGUGUGUGGUCACAUCCAGGAUCCAGGGAGCAUUGGAAUGAGAAGAGCCCCUCUGAGCUGCAGCUGGUACAGUAGAGGCAGUGGGAUGUUGUUUGACUGACCUUGAUGGGUGUUCCUGGCCAUCAAGGAGAGCAGGCCAGUGGGAUGUGACAUCCUGGGUCACCAGCAGCUAGCUUCGAGCCUAGAGCUGUCCUCAUGCCUGUGAGGAAUGUGCAUAGUUCUUUGUGCCUCAGUUGGGUCAUCCACAAAGUGGGCUGAAUAUGACAGACUGAUAAACCUAUGGUAGGACUAACUUAGUGACAAUGACCAUAGCUAGGAUGGGUUCAUUAACAUCUCAGACAGACAACAGCCUCUAGAGUGGGCUCCAUCUACAUCCAUUAGGAUCCUUCCGCUGUGCCCCGGUCGUGUGAGUGGUCUGUGAGAAGCUGCCCAGAUGACAAAGUCCUCAUUCAGUCUGUACUGCAUCUAUAGCAGGUAACAGCUGCUGUUCCAGAGAUUCCCAGGGCUUUGGCAGACUCCUGCAAUACAGGGCUUCCUGUCAGUCUGUGAAAACUUUCUGAAACGCUGUCAGUCACGAUAUUGGUGGGCUCCUUUGCAGCAAUAUGGAACUUAAUUCAAAAAAUUCUCUACCACUUGAAAGUUGAGAUAAUUUUAGUUUUGCAUUUGUCUUUUCUCCUCAGAAUAGUUAGACCUUUGUGGAGAAUGUUCAUGCAUGCCCCCCCCCCAAUCUGUGUAUGUGCACACACGUGACUGCAUGUAUGUGCCUGUGCAUGUGUGUGUAUAUGCAUGUGUGUGCAUGUGUGUGUCUGCACAUGUAAACUUUUCCAUUUGACAAGGUCAGUGAAUGACAGACAAGCAUCUGGGGUCCACUACCUCAGCAUCACCUUCACUCAUGAGGUAGUAAUAUGUGUAUCCUAUGCGCUAGGAGAUGGCUAUUUACCAUACCAAAACAAACAUCUCUUUCUCUACCUGCACAUGUAAUUAUGAAUUUGAAUCUUGUAAAGAAAAAUAGAGCAGGGUGCAGGAGUGUACAGAAGGUCAUGGGAACAGUUUCCACUGUGUGUAGAAGGUGAUCAUGGGAACAGUUCCCACUGUGUGCAGAAGGUGAUCAUGGGAACAGUUCCCACUGUGUGCAGAAGGUGAUCAUGGGAACAGUUCCCACUGUGUGCAGAAGGUGAUCAUGGGAACAGUUCCCACUGUGUGCAGAAGGUGAUCAUGGGAACAGUUCCCACUGUGUGCAGAAGGUGAUCAUGGGAACAGUUCCCACUGUGUGCAGAAGGUGAUCAUGGGAACAGUUCCCGCUGUGUGCAGAAGGUGAUCAUGGGAACAGUUCCCACUGUGUGCAGAUGCAUGAUAGAACAGCAGCCUUUGACAGUUUGCAACACCUUUUCUUCAGAUAUGGGACGAUAUGGCUCAUCAUCAGCACACUAGCUCAGCACAGACAAGGCUCUGGGUCUAAUUUCUAAUGCCUCAGAUGCUAAAAAGAGUUCUCUUUCAUCAAGUUAAACAAUGACAUUCCUGACUCUUCUCUUUUCAUAAUUUCCUUAAGUGGAUCUCUACAGCAUCUACCACAUUUUUUUUUAAAAACAGUCAAACUUUAUUGACUGACAUGGCUUACAGAGACAAAACUAGCCUACCACUCUGCAAAGUUCGGAUUCAGUGACUCACCCUGUCUGGACCCUCUUCCUUCCUUACUGACUGACAGUUGGCAGGGGCAGGACCCUCAUGCCUGCAGGAGGAAUGGUGCUGACCUUGUCUGAGGGCAGCGUUUAGGAAACUUCUGGAACCAGUGUGUUCAUGUUGGUACUAGGAGGUGAGCUGUCUAUGAAAAAAAAAA